rnacentral:tRNA from 1 species
ACCUGGGUGGCUUAGUUGGUUAAGCGACUGACUUCAGCUCAGGUCAUGAUCUCACUGCUUGUGGGUUUGAGCCCCACGUCAGGGC